UAGGGAAUCUUCGGCAAUGGGGGCAACCCUGACCGAGCAACGCCGCGUGAGUGAAGAAGGUUUUCGGAUCGUAAAGCUCUGUUGUAAGUCAAGAACGAGUGUGAGAGUGGAAAGUUCACACUGUGACGGUAGCUUACCAGAAAGGGACGGCUAACUACGUGCCAGCAGCCGCGGUAAUACGUAGGUCCCGAGCGUUGUCCGGAUUUAUUGGGCGUAAAGCGAGCGCAGGCGGUUUGAUAAGUCUGAAGUUAAAGGCUGUGGCUCAACCAUAGUUCGCUUUGGAAACUGUCAAACUUGAGUGCAGAAGGGGAGAGUGGAAUUCCAUGUGUAGCGGUGAAAUGCGUAGAUAUAUGGAGGAACACCGGUGGCGAAAGCGGCUCUCUGGUCUGUAACUGACACUGAGGCUCGAAAGCGUGGGGAGCGAACAGGAUUAGAUACCCUGGUAGUCCACACCGUAACGAUGAGUGCUAGGUGUUGGAUCCUUUCCGGGAUUCAGUGCCGCAGCUAACGCAUUAAGCACUCCGCCUGGGGAGUACGACCGCAAGGUU
rnacentral:rRNA from 1 species